rnacentral:rRNA from 1 species
UACGUAGGGUGCAAGCGUUAAUCGGAAUUACUGGGCGUAAAGCGUGCGCAGGCGGCGCGUUAAGACAGGUGUGAAAGCCCCGAGCUUAACUUGGGAAUUGCGCUUGUGACUGGCGUGCUGGAGUGUGGCAGAGGGAGGUGGAAUUCCACGUGUAGCAGUGAAAUGCGUAGAUAUGCGGAGGAACACCGAUGGCGAAGGCAAUCCCCUGGGCCUGCACUGACGCUCAUGCACGAAAGCGUGGGGAGCAAACAGG